CCCUAGCCUGAUAGUAGUGGAAAUCCUUUUGUCUUUUUCUUUAAAAAACAAAAGAUUGAAACAUACCGAGGCUUCGG
rnacentral:sRNA from 1 species